rnacentral:rRNA from 1 species
GACGAACGCUGGCGGCGUGCCUAAUACAUGCAAGUCGAGCGGAUCUCUGAAGGAGCUUGCUCCUGAUGAGGUUAGCGGCGGACGGGUGAGUAACACGUAGGUAACCUGCCUGCAAGCCUGGGAUAACAUCCGGAAACGGAUGCUAAGACCGGAUACGCAGCUUGGUCGCAUGACCAAGCUGGGAAAGACGGAGCAAUCUGUCGCUUGCAGAUGGGCCUGCGGCGCAUUAACUAGUUGGUGAGGUAACGGCCCACAAAGGCGACGAUGCGUAGCCGACCUGAGAGGGUGAACGGCCACACUGGGACUGAGACACGGCCCAGACUCCUACGGGAGGCAGCAGUAGGGAAUCUUCCACAAUGGACGCAAGUCUGAUGGAGCAACGCCGCGUGAGUGAGGAAGGCCUUCGGGUCGUAAAGCUCUGUUGCCAGGGAAGAACGCCUAGGAGAGUAACUGCUCUUAGGGUGACGGUACCUGAGAAGAAAGCCCCGGCUAACUACGUGCCAGCAGCCGCGGUAAUAC